GGUGUGUAAUCUCCCUCCAUUUGCAUUCCUCUACUAUAAACAGCUCCAGUCUCUCUUCAGACACUGUGGUUAAAUCAAAUCCAUCUCCUUUGACAGCUCCAGGGCCUAUGUAGAGUUCUACCGCUCAAGUCAAUGAGAGGUUCUGGCGUUCUCCCAGAGGUCUCUCUGUCUCUCCUUCUCACGCAGAAGAGACUUCCUCUCCAUCUCAACGUUUAACCCGCUGGAGAGGUGGAGAGACUUGGGCAGGGGGGGUGAAUGUGGAUUUUCAGAAUCAGUCAGUGAGCCCUGUCAGGGUUCUCAGCAGCUCCAUUGAGUUGGAGAAUCUUCCGUCUAACCCUGUCUUUAUCGUCAAUAUCACCGAGGUGUCUGUUCCGCCUCUUUCACUUUCAGUGCACAAAUAAAAAAGAAGCAGUGGCUCCUGUGUGUGUGUGUGUGUGUGUGUGUGUGUGUGUGUGUGUGUGUGUGUGUGUGUGCACUAACAGGAGGUCCAGGUGCAGC
ensembl:lncRNA